GACGAACGCUGGCGGCGUGCCUAAUACAUGCAAGUCGAACGCUUCUUUCCUCCCGAGUGCUUGCACUCAAUUGGAAAGAGGAGUGGCGGCCGGGUGAGUAACACGUGGGUAACCUACCCAUCAGAGGGGGAUGACACUUGGAAACAGGUGCUAAUACCGCAUAACAGUUUAUGCCGCAUGGCAUAAGAGUGAAAGGCGCUUUCGGGUGUCGCUGAUGGAUGGACCCGCGGUGCAUUAGCUAGUUGGUGAGGUAACGGCUCACCAAGGCCACGAUGCAUAGCCGACCUGAGAGGGUGAUCGGCCACACUGGGACUGAGACACGGCCCAGACUCCUACGGGAGGCAGCAGUAGGGAAUCUUCGGCAAUGGACGAAAGUCUGACCGAGCAAAGCCGCGUGAGUGAAGAAGGUUUUCGGAUCGUAAAACUCUGUUGUUAGGGAAGAACAAGGACGUUAGUAACUGAACGUCACCUGACGGUAUCUAACCAGAAAGCCACGGCUAACUACGUG
rnacentral:rRNA from 1 species